CCUACGGGUGGCAGCAGUGGGGAAUAUUGGGCAAUGGGCGCAAGCCUGACCCAGCAACGCCGCGUGAAGGAAGAAGGCUUUCGGGUUGUAAACUUCUUUUUUCAGGGACGAAGCAAGUGACGGUCCCUGCCUAAUAAGCCACCGCUAACUACGUGCCAGCAGCCGCGGUAAUCCGUAGGUGGCAAGCGUUAUCCGGAUUUACUGGUUGUAAGGGGCGUGUAGGCGGGGAAGCAAGUCAGAUGUGAAAACCACGGGCUCAACCUGUGGCGUGCAUUUGAAACUGUUUGUCUUGAGUGCGGGAGAGGCAAGCGGAAUUCGGGGUGUAGCGGUGAAAUGCGUAGAUAUAAGGAGGAACACCAGUGGCGAAGGCGGAUUGCUGGACAGUAACUGACGCUGAGGCGCGAAAGCGUGGGGAGCAAACAGGAUUAGAUACCCUUGUAGUC
rnacentral:rRNA from 1 species